AUACGGAGGGUGCAAGCGUUAUCCGGAAUCAUUGGGUUUAAAGGGUCCGCAGGCGGAUUAAUAAGUCAGUGGUGAAAUCCUCUCGCUCAACGAGAGAACUGCCAUUGAAACUGUUAGUCUUGAAUUCGGUCGAAGUAGGCGGAAUGUGUCAUGUAGCGGUGAAAUGCAUAGAUAUGACACAGAACACCGAUAGCGAAGGCAGCUUACUAGACCUGGAUUGACGCUCAUGGACGAAAGCGUGGGGAGCGAACAGGAUUAGAAACCCGUGUAGUCC
rnacentral:rRNA from 1 species